rnacentral:lncRNA from 1 species
CUUCGUGUGAAAAGGUGUUCAAAGGUCUGUUUUGUCAACGAGCUCAAUGUUUCCCAAAGACCUGUGGAAACAAGCAGAUCCCAAUAACUGAGGAAGCAGCAGGGACGUUACCAGGACCUGGCUUUCUGGGCUGCUGCGAUGGUGUAACGCCUUGAUCACACCGAUAGAUCUGUGCCUCGACACAAUCCUGUCUCGGAGGUUCUACGGACAAUUUCUUCAACCUCAUGGUUUGGGUUUUUGCUCUGAUAUGCACUGUCAACUGUGGGACCUUUAUAUAGACAGGUGUGAUGCCUUUACAAAUCAUGUCCAAUUGAAUUACCUUUACCAAUGGUGGACUCUAAUCAAGUUGUAGAAACAUUUCAACGAUGAUCAAUGGAAACAGCAUAGACUAGUGCUCAAUGUCGAGUCUCAUAGCAAAGGGUCUGAAUACUUAUGUAAAUAAGGUAUUUCUGUUCAUAAUUUUUUAUAAAUGUUCAAAAAAAUUCUAUAAACCUGUGUUCGCUUUGUCAUUAUGGGGUAUUGUGUGUAGAUUGCAGAGGAUUUUUCCCCCCCAAUCCCUUUUAUAAUAAAGCUGUGACAU